CCUACGGGUGGCUGCAGUGGGGAAUAUUGGACAAUGGGCGAAAGCCUGAUCCAGCCAUGCCGCGUGUGUGAAGAAGGCCUUCGGGUUGUAAAGCACUUUCAGUGGGGAAGAAAGCCUUGGGGCUAAUACCCUCGAGGAAGGACAUCACCCACAGAAGAAGCACCGGCUAACUCCGUGCCAGCAGCCGCGGUAAUACGGAGGGUGCGAGCGUUAAUCAGAAUUACUGGGCGUAAAGCGCGCGUAGGCGGUCUGAUAAGCCGGUUGUGAAAGCCCCGGGCUCAACCUGGGAACGGCAUCCGGAACUGUCAGGCUAGAGUGCAGGAGAGGAAGGUAGAAUUCCCGGUGUAGCGGUGAAAUGCGUAGAGAUCGGGAGGAAUACCAGUGGCGAAGGCGGCCUUCUGGACUGACACUGACGCUGAGGUGCGAAAGCGUGGGUAGCAAACAGGAUUAGAUACCCGUGUAGUC
rnacentral:rRNA from 1 species